rfam:Oryza barthii chromosome 7, whole genome shotgun sequence.
AAAAAGACAAACCUUAGAUUUUCAUGUCCAACAUUUAACUGUCCGUCUUAUAUAAAUUUUUUUUAUAAUUAGUAUUUUUAUUGUUGUUAGAUGAUAAAAUAUGAUUAAUACUUAUACGUGACUUGUCUUUUUAAUUUUUUUCAUAAUUUUUUUAAAUAAAACGGACGGUCAAACGUUGGACACGGAAAGUCAGGGUUUGUCUUUUU